CGAGACGUCACACCUAGAGUAGAUCCUUUUGGGAUCAUCAUUGUCCGACGAGUCAUUCGUCUAAGGCAAUGGUAUCUCGAAAUGGGUCGUUGAGUCUAGGAACCUUUUAGGUUGCCUUUGAAGACUAUAACCUACAUGUGAGGGGGAUAUGGGUUUUUCUGCAGGAAACCAUAUACUCUACAUACCUUAUUCUCAUUGAUGUCGAACCUUUGAUCCUGCAUCGGGAAGUAUG
rnacentral:lncRNA from 1 species